rnacentral:tRNA from 1 species
GCCAGCAUGGCUCAGUGGUUGAGCAUCAGCCUAUGACCCAGGAGGUCAAGGUUCAAUUCCUGGUCAGGGCA